rnacentral:lncRNA from 1 species
CCGGCGUCACAAAGGCUCUGGAAUAUUACCGUAGCUUCGCGUUCAUUCUGCUGCUGGCGCUCUUUCAGUCUGUCAUGACAGUACAAACAUAUCUGCGUUAACGUCGAUGUAAACAUAAACUCAACGUGUGCUGGACGCGUCCACAGGAGCGUUAUAUUACAUCGCAACAGGUCUUCACCUGCGGAAGAGAGCGGCCAUACAGCCCGUCACUCGUCAUGCUGUGCUGGGGGAAUGCCUCGUACGGGCAGCUGGGUUUGGGUGGGAUUGAUGAGGAGAUAGUGCUGGAGCCGAGGAAAUGCGAGUUCUUCGAGGGCAAGCGUGUGAGGGAUGUGGGAUGCGGCAGACGUCACAGCGUCUUUCUGCUGGAGGACGGGACGGUGUACACCUGCGGCUGCAAUGACCUGGGACAGCUGGGGCAUGACAAAGCACGCAAGAAACCAGAACAGGUCGUGUCUCUGGAUGCUCAGAACAUUGUGUCCGUGUCUUGCGGUGCAGCUCAUACUCUGGCUCUGAAUGAUAAAGGACAAGUGUUUGCAUGGGGUCUGGGCUCAGACAGGCAGCUCGGACUUUCGAACAUUGAAGAUUGUAUCCGUAUACCCAGAACUGUCAAGAGUUUAUCAGAGCUUCACAUUGCCCAGGUGGCCUGUGGAUACUGCCAUUCCCUUGCUUUAGCCAGAGGAGGUCAGAUAUUCUCCUGGGGCCAAAAUAAAUAUGGACAGCUGGGGCUCGGGAUGCAGGGAGCCAGCGUCUCCUCCCCACAAGUCAUUCAGUCUUUGCAGGGCGUCCCAUUUGCCCAGAUAUCUGCAGGGGGCGCUCACAGCUUCGGGCUCACGCUGUCUGGGGCUGUUUUCGGCUGGGGACGAAACAAGUUUGGCCAGCUGGGCCUCAGUGACAAUGAUGAUCGCUAUUUCCCUGCCUUACUGAAGACUCUCAGGUCCCAACGGGUCGUUUACGUAUGCUGUGGAGAGGACCACACGGCUGUAUUAACGAAGGAGGGAGGUGUUUUUACAUUUGGAGCGGGUGGUUACGGUCAGCUGGGACACAACACCUCAAACCAUGAGGUGAACCCCAGGAAGGUGUUUGAACUCAUGGGAAAUGUGGUUGCACAUAUAGCUUGUGGUAGGCAGCACACUUUGGCGUUCAUCCCUUCAUCAGGAAAGAUUGACUCGUUUGGUCUCGGCGGUAAUGGACAGCUAGGAACCCGUUCGACCUGCAAUAGGAUAAGUCCCGCCCCUGUGAAGGGCUGCUGUCGAGCACAUACUGAUCCUGUACCUAUGGAAGUAGGUGGGUUUUUCUGUGUGAAGAGGAUCUACGCUGGAGGAGAUCAGAGCUUCGCUCACUACGCUUUACCUCAGCUUAAUAAAACAGUCCACCAUACUGAUAAUGUGUUUUAUGUCUCUUGUAGUGAGAUUGAUCUUGUGUUCUCUUCAGCAAGUUGUCUCAAUGGAAGCUUUCUGUCUGGAAGUAAUCCAGAUCACUACAGCACUAGCAGUAAGUGCUCAGGUGUAGACGUUAACACGGCUCGCCUGCUCUACCACAGACUCAUCCAGCCCGAUUACCCACAAAUCUCACAAAUUGUAGCUGCUAGUUUGGAGAAGAAUCUCCUCCCCAGAUUGAGCAGUUCUCCUCCAGACAUUGAGGCUCUGAGACUGUACCUCACGCUGCCCGAGUGUCCACUCCUCAGCAACCCCAACAACUACACAACCCUCACUAUUCCCUUCGCCAAGGCCGUCGUAAGCCUGAAGGACGCCCCCCUCAAAGUGCUCGGAAACUGGUGGUCAAAGUUUGAGCCAGCGGUCUUCCAGAGGCUGGUGGAGCUGUACAAGGAGGUGGUGGUGUAUCUGCUGCGGAUGCAGAAACUGGGAAUUCCUCUUUCUGAACAGAGGAUCUUCACCUGCUUCCUGCACACCUCACUCAAAUUCCUGGAGGUCCUCCACUCGGUUAAUGAGCGUGCUGGCCAGAUCAUCCAGUAUGACAAGUUUUAUAUUCAUGAGCUGGAUGAGCUCAUUGACAUCAGGAAUGAUUAUGUCACCUGGUUUCAGCAGCAGAUGUUCUCUGUGGUCAUGAACUCUCAGGUGACCAUGUGCCAAUACCCAUUUGUUUUUGACGCUCAGGCAAAGACGGCGCUGCUUCAGACUGAUGCUGUGAUCCAGAUGCAGAUGGCGGUGGAUCAUGCUCAGAGACAGAACUUACACUCUCUGUUCCUGUCCGGUGGAGGAGUGGAGUCAGUAAACCCCUGCCUCAUCCUCAUCGUACGCCGAGAAAACGUGGUCGGGGACUCCAUGGAGGUGCUGAGGAAGUCCAAAAACGUUGAUUACAAGAAGCCGCUCAAGGUGAUCUUCGUUGGAGAGGAGGCCGUAGACGCUGGCGGUGUGAGAAAAGAGUUCUUCCUGCUCAUCAUGAAAGAACUCUUGGACCCUAAAUAUGGGAUGUUCAGAUACUACGAGGAGUCCAGACUCAUCUGGUUCGCUCACAAGACAUUUGAAGACAUUGACUUGUUCCAUCUGAUCGGUGUGGUUUGUGGAUUGGCCAUCUAUAACCUCACUAUAGUGGAGCUGAACUUCCCACUAGCGCUGUACAAGAAACUCCUGAAGAAAACUCCCACUCUAGAGGACCUGAAGGAGCUCAUGCCUGACGUAGGGAGGAGUCUUCGGCAGCUGCUAGAUUAUACGGAGGAUGAUCUGGAAGACACUUUCUGCCUGAAUUUCACAGUAACAGAGGAACACCACAGAGCCACAGAGGUAUUGGAGCUGGUUCCCAACGGGACAGACAUCAGCGUCAACAAGUCCAACAGGCAGGAGUUCGUCAAUGCCUACGUCGAUUAUAUAUUCAACACCUCCGUGGCUCCUCAGUUCAGUGCUUUCUACGCAGGAUUUCACAAAGUGUGUGGAGGGAAAGUUCUAGAGCUUUUCCAGCCAAGUGAACUGCAGGCCAUGGUCAUAGGAAACACCAAUUAUGACUGGAAGGAGUUAGAGAAGAGCACAGAGUAUAAGGGCGAGUACUGGGCCAAUCACCCCACCAUCAAGAUAUUCUGGGAAGUGUUUCACGAAAACCCAAAGCCCCUCCUGUUCCUCACGGGCAGCGACCGAAUCCCCAUCCUGGGCAUGAAGAGCCUGGUGUUAGUGAUCCAGCCCACCUGUGGCGGAAAGCACUAUUUCCCUGUAGCACACACAUGCUUCAACCUGCUGGAUCUGCCCAAGUACACUAAUAAGGAGACACUCAAAGAGAAACUGCUACACGCCAUCGAACACACCCAGGGCUUCAACCUCGUCUGA